CGUGGCUAACCUGCCCUUGGGACGAGAACAACCCCGGGAAACUGGGACUAAUUCUCGAUAGGUGAAGAUCUCUGGAAUGAGUUUUCGCCCAAAAGACCCUACGUUAUGCUCGUAGUUUCGCCCAAGGAUGGGGCCGCGACCGAUCAGGUUGUUGGUGAGGUAAUGGCUCACCAAGCCUUUUACCGGUGCGGGCCGUGGGAGCGGGAGCCCGGAGAUGGGCACUGAGACAAGGGCCCAGGCCCUACGGGGCGCAGCAGUCGCGAAAACUUUGCAAUAAGCGAAAGCUUGACAGGGCUAUCCCGAGUGCCAUCCGCUGAGGAAGGCUUUUACCCAGUCUAGAACGCUGGGGGAAUAAGGAGAGGGCAAGUCUGGUGUCAGCCGCCGCGGUAAUACCAGCUCUCCGAGUGGUGUGGAUGUUUAUUGGGCCUAAAGCAUCCGUAGCUGGCUAGGUUAGUCCCCUGUUAAAUCCACCGAAUUAAUCGUUGGAUUGCGGGGGAUACUGCUUGGCUAGGGGACGAGAGAGGCAGACGGUAUUUCCGGGGUAGGGGUGAAAUCCUAUAAUCCCGGGAAGACCACCAGUGGCGAAGGCUGUCUGCUAGAACGCGCCCGACGGUGAGGGAUGAAAGCUGGGGGAGCGAACCGGAUUAGAUACCCGGGUAGUCCCAGCUGU
rnacentral:rRNA from 1 species